rnacentral:sRNA from 1 species
GCUGGGCGUGCUGGUGCAUGCCUGUAAUCCCAGCUACUCUGGAGGCUGAGGCAGGAGGAUCACAAGUUUGAGGCCAGUCUGGGCAAUUUAGUGAGACUCUGUCUCAA